AGUAUCAGGUGAUGAAACCUUGAAACAAUCUUAGGACACCUUCUGACACAGUGCUGUUAUCCUGUGAAUGAGAAGUCUAUAUCUUCUGAUGAUACU
rfam:Hordeum vulgare subsp. vulgare, WGS project CAJW01000000 data, contig: morex_contig_1573908